rnacentral:rRNA from 1 species
GCACUUGGAUGGACUGAGUGGCGGACGGGUGAGUAACGCGUGGGUAACCUGCCUUAUACAGGGGGAUAACAGUUGGAAACGACUGCUAAUACCGCAUUAAGCGCACGGUAUCGCAUGAUACAGUGUGAAAAACUCCGGUGGUAUAAGAUGGCCUUGCGUCUGAUUAGAUAGUUGGUGGGGUAACGGCCUACCAAGUCGACGAUCAGUAGCCGGACUGAGAGGGCGAACGGCCACAUUGGGACUGAGACACGGCCCAAACUCCGACGGGAGGCAGCAGUGGGGAAUAUUGCACAAUGGGGGAAACCCUGAUGCAGCGACGCCGCGUGAGUGAAGAAGUAUUUCGGUAUGUAAAGCUCUAUCAGCAGGGAAGAAAGACAUGACGGUACCUGACUAAGAAGCCCCGGCUAACUACGUG